GUGGCUAUAGCUCAGUUGGUUAGAGCAUCGGUUUGUGGUACCGAGGGUCGUGGGUUCGAGUCCCAUUAGCCACCCUA
rnacentral:tRNA from 1 species